AGCUUUGAGCAGUGGCAAUAUCGUAGACAAUGAGGUUUAUCUGAGUCAUGAUUAUUGCUAAUAGGGGGGGAAAUCUUUUUUCCUUAAAUGGAAUUUGCAGAAUGUUUUUAAGGGAUAAAGAAAAGCAACUCUUUGC